rnacentral:rRNA from 1 species
GAUGAACGCUGGCGGCGUGCCUAAUACAUGCAAGUCGAGCGAACAGACGAGGAGCUUGCUCCUCUGACGUUAGCGGCGGACGGGUGAGUAACACGUGGAUAACCUACCUAUAAGACUGGGAUAACUUUGGGAAACCGGAGCUAAUACCGGAUAAUAUAUUGAACCGCAUGGUUCAAUAGUGAAAGACGGUUUUGCUGUCACUUAUAGAUGGAUCCGCGCCGCAUUAGCUAGUUGGUAAGGUAACGGCUUACCAAGGCGACGAUGCGUAGCCGACCUGAGAGGGUGAUCGGCCACACUGGAACUGAGACACGGUCCAGACUCCUACGGGAGGCAGCAGUAGGGAAUCUUCCGCAAUGGGCGAAAGCCUGACGGAGCAACGCCGCGUGAGUGAUGAAGGUCUUCGGAUCGUAAAACUCUGUUAUUAGGGAAGAACAAAUGUGUAAGUAACUAUGCACGUCUUGACGGUACCUAAUCAGAAAGCCACGGCUAACUACGUA